rnacentral:tRNA from 1 species
GGAGAGGUGUCCGAGUGGUUUAUGGACCUGGUCUUGAAAACCAGUGUAGUUAAUACUACCGAGGGUUCGAAUCCCUCCUUCUCCA